AUACGGCUCACCCUGCAGGAAGUGCAAAGAAUCCAUAGGUGGGGAUUAUACCACCCGAGCGCCUCCACUGAGCAGUUUUGAGUCUGCUCUACUUUACGUGAGUAGUAUACUUUACUUUUUUUUUAUUUUGGAUUACAUACAGUGAGCACUAUAUAUUUUAUUUCAUUUUUCCUCUGGGUCGUAUUACGUCAAAUUGAACGCUGAUCCCACGUCAGAUAUUCAACUAUCAAAAUUCACUCCAUAUAUCCUUGAAGUGGGGAUCAUUCCACUUUACGCGAGCAAUAUCAGAGCUGAUCCUAGCUCUGAAAAGUGUGAGUAAG